UACGUAGGGUGCGAGCGUUGUCCGGAAUUACUGGGCGUAAAGCGUGCGCAGGCGGUUUUGUAAGUCUGACGUGAAAUCCCCGGGCUCAACCUGGGAAUUGCGUUGGAGACUGCAAGGCUAGAAUCUGGCAGAGGGGGGUAGAAUUCCACGUGUAGCAGUGAAAUGCGUAGAGAUGUGGAGGAACACCGAUGGCGAAGGCAGCCCCCUGGGUCAAGAUUGACGCUCAUGCACGAAAGCGUGGGGAGCGAACAGG
rnacentral:rRNA from 1 species